rnacentral:snoRNA from 1 species
GGUUCAAGUGAUGAUGAGAAACUGCAAUAAUAUGACAUGAGUUACACUCCUGUGGUUCGUAGUUUAAAGUCUGAUGAUU